rnacentral:lncRNA from 1 species
GAGCGUCUUGUGGCUGCGGCCUGCCCCUCAGCCUCCUCCGCGCGGUUACCCCUGUACCCGCCGCCAUCCGUCCUGGCGCUCCGGAUGAGUCAAUGAGGGGCAGGGCCCGAGGAGUGGUCUUCCCAAGAACCCCUGGUGGCCUCCCAAGGCCGGCCUCGUGGGCUGUGCGGCUAUCCUGGAGACAGAUGACAGCUCUCCCUUGGAUGGCUUUGCUGGUUCCGCACCAGCCAGCGCCCCUAUUUUUCCUGCAGCACCCUGAUCUGCACUCCCUGAGGGGCUCCCACUGUCCGCGGUGUGAGGAUGUCCCUGGAUAGUCCACUGUGUGCAGAGGCAUGGGAGUUGUCAUGUCGAGAACAUGCUAGACCUCAGUGUCCUUGAGCUUGAAGAAAGACGACAGAACACUGGAGACCAAGUACUUGCAGCCUUCUGCUCUGUGGCCCCUCCUCACUCCAGGGAUGCCGCCUUGGGUCUGGAAAUUGUUAGAGGAAACCCCAAGAGGUGCAGGCACUGAGCCUCUCAGGACAAUGACCUGGGGUCCCAGCUCCCCUGGAGGGGCCUCCUCAUGAUUGUUUGGGGCUUGAUCACAGACCAAGAGUGACGAGUGAUGUCACCCUGUGACUCAUGGCCGGACCUUCUUGCCCCUAUUGUCUCAGCACAACAUUAUUUGACUUUUCCCUCAGCGUGGGUGGGCAGAGGAAAAGCCCUGUGGCUCUGGGGACUUGGGAUCCGGAGUUGAAGACCCUUCAGCUGGCUCUGCCCUGCCAGUGCCACAGAGUGCCAUGGCCCAGGAAGACAGGUUUUCUUCCAUCUAGGCCAGGCCAUCCAGUGGCCAUCCUCCGUGUCCUCCCGCCUCCUCCUGGUGUGACUUCUGAAAACCAAGAAUUUGUUCCUGUUGACUUUUUCUGUGCUAUGGACCAUUGUCCUCUCACCCACUCAAUAAAUCUUGAAACAUGC